UGCCAGCCGCCGCGGUAACACGAACCGGACAAACGUUAUUCGGAAUUAUUGGGCUUAAAGGGUGUGUAGGCGGUCAUGUAGGUGGGGUGUGAAAUCCCUCGGCUCAACCGAGGAACUGCGCUCCAAACCCCAUGACUAGAGGGAGACAGAGGUAAGCGGAACUGAUGGUGGAGCGGUGAAAUGCGUUGAUAUCAUCAGGAACACCAGUGGCGAAAGCGGCUUUCUGGACCGAUACUGACGCUGAGACGCGAAAGCGUGGGGAGCAAACAGGAUUAGAUA
rnacentral:rRNA from 1 species